rnacentral:rRNA from 1 species
UACGGAGGGUGCGAGCGUUGUCCGGAUUUAUUGGGUUUAAAGGGUGCGUAGGCGGUUCUUUAAGUCUGGGGUGAAAGCCCGCUGCUCAACAGCGGAACUGCCCUGGAUACUGGAGAACUUGAGUACAGACGAGGUUGGCGGAAUGGACUGUGUAGCGGUGAAAUGCAUAGAUACAGUCCAGAACCCCGAUUGCGAAGGCAGCUGACUAGGCUGUUACUGACGCUGAGGCACGAAAGCGUGGGGAGCGAACAGG